rnacentral:lncRNA from 1 species
UAAUGAUCAUAUAUGACGGUCGAAUUUUGGUUUGUGAAUUUUAGUCAUCGGAAUCACAACGUGUCUACUAAUGUUGUAUAACUUGUUUAGUAGGUUAUACAAUUUUGUGAACCAACUCUAUAUAGGAAGCAAAAUUAUCAAAAAUCUCGUGAAAUAAGAUGUGUUCAGAAUGGUGAAAUACGACUAUGGUUCAAAAAUCACGUAAAUCGGGUAAAGUCUCGGUGCCGAUAGUAGCAUACAACCCUAUUUACCGUUAUUAUUCCCUGUGGGGAGCCCUAUCGUCGGAAAGCAAAUGUCUCAAAAUUUUUAUAUAGGCGGUUGCGUCUCAUCUGCGUGAAAGUUUUUCGUGUGGAAGGUUUGACCAAACUACGUAAUAUAGAGGGAGAUAUGAGCGUUUUCGUGAAUUUAUAGACUUUAGCCGACGAGAUAUUAAAAAAGUCGUCGGCUAAUGUCAAAAAUUUUUGGGCGGUAAAAAUUUUCAAAGGACUUUAGCCGACGAAAAUAUUUGAAAAGUCGUUGGCUAAGGUCAAAAAUUUUUGGGCGGUAAAAAUUUUCAAAGGACUUUAGCCGACGAAAAUAUAUGAAGAGUCGUCGGCUAAAGUCGAAAAAUUUUCAAAAUUUUCAACCAAAAUUUUUUGGCGGUCAACCAAAAUUUUCGAAAUUUUCAAAAGAGUUUAGACGACGAAAAUAAAGAAUUUCGUCGGCUAAAGUUCUUUAUAUAGGAGUUUUACCGGAGGUGGAUGGUAAGAAGUCUGUUUCGUCUGCCGAAUUUUCUUCUCUGCCUAGCUCCGCCGUCAAGCCACUGGAGACCGCCACAGUUGUCCCAAAAGCUUCACCGUCGUCUCUACUUCAUUGCUGGACAGGUGGUGCAUCGAGUGGCGCCGCCGUGAGGGAUAAAUCGAGCUCCAAAACUCCGCCGGUUCGGAUUCGGUGUCGAUCGAAUUUCUCCUUCCUCAGGUCACCAUUUGGUGAGUUCUAUAUAUGGAUAAGUUGAGUUUGAUUAGUACUACAUUCCCCUAGAAUUUGGUAGCUCGAUUCGGUGUGUGUGAGGAGAAUCGAAGAUUUGAAGUUUUUAGGGUUUAAAAUUGGGGAUUUUUAUGUUUUGAUUCAAUUGACCAGUUUAGGCUUAGAAUUGGGCUUCGACUUCUUCUAGAAAGUUGUUUGAAAUGUUGAGAUGAAGAUUCUGUCAAAUUUUGGUGGUGAUUGGAGGUGGCCGAAAGUUUCUGCAGUUUUUUUCAAAACCAGCAACUUUAGCCGACGAUA